GAGCGCAACCCUUAUCCUUUGUUGCCAGCGGUUCGGCCGGGAAAUCAAAGGAGACUGCCAGUGAUAAACUGGAGGAAGGUGGGGAAGACGUCAAGUCAUCAUGGCCCUUACGAGUAGGGCUACACACGUGAUACAAUGGCGUAUACAAAGAGAAGCGACCUCGCGAGAGCAAGCGGACCUCAUAAAGUACGUCGUAGUCCGGAUUGGAGUCUGCAACUCGACUCCAUGAAGUCGGAAUCGCUAGUAAUCGUAGAUCAGAAUGCUACGGUGAAUACGUUCCCGGGCCUUGUACACACCGCCCGUCACACCAUGGGAGUGGGUUGCAAAAGAAGUAGGUAGCUUAACCUUCGGGAGGGCGCUUACCACUUUGUGAUUCAUGACUGGGGGAAGU
rnacentral:rRNA from 1 species